rnacentral:rRNA from 1 species
AGCGAACGCUGGCGGCAGGCCUAACACAUGCAAGUCGAGCGGCCGUAGCAAUACGGCAGCGGCAGACGGGAGAGUAACACGUGGGAACGCGCCCUUCGGUUCGGGAUAACUCAGGGAAACUUGGGCUAAUACCGGAUACGCCCUUACGGGGAAAGAUUUAUUGCCGAAGGAACGGCCCGCGUCCGAUUAGCUUGUUGGUGAGGUAACGGCUCACCAAGGCGACGAUCGGUAGCUGGUCUGAGAGGAUGACCAGCCUCACUGGGACUGAGACAAGGACCAGACUCCCACGGGGGGCGACCGUGGGGGAGAUUGGACAAUGGGCGCAACCCCGGUCCACCAAUGCCGGGUGAGUGAUGGAGGCCCUAGGGUUGUAAAGGCCUUUCAGCGGGGAAGAUAAUGACGGUACCCGCAGAAGAAGCCCCGGCUAACUUCGUGCCAGCCACCGCAGUAAAAC